rnacentral:misc_RNA from 1 species
GAAGUGCGAUAAGCAAUGCGAAUUGCAGAACCGUGAGUCAUCAGAUUUUUGAACGCAACUGGCGCCGGCUGGAACUCCAGUCGGCAUGCUUGUUUCAGUGUCUUGUUUUCUCCUCACCCAAACCUUAAUGCGAGAGAUACCCUUCUCUUGCCAAACAGGAAAGCACUCUGCGCUCUGCGAGCGACUUGGCUUCGGUCAUAGGUCGCACUCAAUGCAGCAGUCACAUUUUUCAAAUGUGACGACAGCAUUGAGCGCAGCUUCAAGAACGAGUCUACGAAGCUG